rnacentral:lncRNA from 1 species
CAAAUUAUUGAAUCUGGAUUGCUAAUGGUCUUUUUUGCUUUAGAUAUUUUUGUUAUACAAGAGAACUAUAUUGUGGAAUGAACUUAUUUAAUAAAAAAAUACAAUGCACAAAGUAAAUGAUUUUUGUAGUUAUUACUCACCUGAGAACUCUUGCCACAUUUAGCAUCUCCUGAGACAAUCACAAUUUGAUUUUGAAGAAGAUUCUCCAUAAAGGAGUAUUUUUCUUUCCAUAUUGGAAGGUCUUCUCUUUCUUUCAGAAGUUUAUAGUAACGUGAUGAAUACGGCAAUCCAUCAAAAGGGUUCAGUUCCAAAUCCUCACAUGUCAGGACCCCUUCCACAUCCCCAUCACUGGAAUCAAGGGAUUCAGGAAAAUAGCGUCUUUCAGAGGAAGAGUUUGGACAUUCCAGUUCUUCUUCUUCCAUCUUGUCUAACAGUGAUCUUAGGAAGCUGACAUUUCACAACCAAGUUUUUCCUGUCAAUAACCCAUUGCAGACAGGGUUUGAAAGCCUACGCUUAGAUGUCCUAACCUCCGAGGCUCACUCAGUUCAAGAUUCUGGCAGGUUAAAUUCCUCAGUCCUUCAUCUGUUUAUUCCUCGAUGCUGUGUUACCCACUGUGCUGGCUCACUUCAACACUCUUCCUAUGUCGAAUGACUGCCAAUAACCCAUGUUGCAGCGCUGGCCGCAGAGUCCCGGAGUGCGGCCAGGCUCCGCCGGGCGUUCGACGCUCGGGCGGUCCCGACAGAUGCCUCGGGACUGCGACGGCGAGGCCCGCAGCGCCCACUCCAGAAGUCGCAGCCCAGGCUCGGAGUAGGAGGGGGCAAGGGCCUCCGGGGAGUCCCACCUGCACGACUAGGCCUCCGAAGCCGUCUCGUCCUCGGGCCACUCGGCCACCACCUUCGCUCUGUCCCCCAGCGACGCGCAGGCCCUCACACUCACUUGCGUUUCCUCCUGGCUUUUGGUCCCUCCCUCUUGCCGUCUUUCUGGCCCCGCCUACCCCGGUUGCCCGGGCAACUCGAGCGACGCCGGCGGUGGAGCCAAGGUGGAGCCCCAGAGUAAGGGCGGCCGGGCCGGGCCGGGCCGCGGCCUCCGGGAAUCAGAAGGCCCCCACCCCCAGCCCCCGCAGUACUACAGGCUUUACCGUAUUUGACAGAGACGGGCGGUUUUAGUCUCCGCUAGUCCGUUUCUCUGCUGGAGCGAGGAGGAGGGCCUGAGCCCUGCUAUCCCGUGGGACCAAGUGAGUCUCCGGGGUGGGAGCCCAAAGGACGGGAGGCUGAGCACCUCUACUAACCACCACUUCCAUUAUUUUAGUUUGGUUUUUUUUUUUUUUUUGGACCGGGAAUCGAACUCCGGUCCUUGUGCUUGCGCAGCGGGAUGCGAAACCACUGAGCUAAAUCCCCUGCCCAACAGUUUGGUAUUUUGGUUCGUUAGCUGUAAAUAGCCCAUCCUGCUUCUAAAAUGCAAGCAGUUAAGCAUGGGACAAAGCUGGGUUUUGUACUGAUGAGACCCUAUUUUCCCCAGCCCCUCAGUAGUUGGUGAUAUGGGGGGGGGGAUACGAACUUUGUGCAUUCAAUUUGUUACCUCCAUUUAAUUAUUGUUAGGUGUACCAGAUAAGAUACGCCCCAAUUUUUUGUUUGUUUUACAAAUUCUGUUUUCCCUCUUUGUUUUUUGAUGUAUGGCCAAAGAUGUGCAGUUUACUUAUCAGAUCUAAUAAGACCUGUAACUUACUGGUUUAUUGGGGUUUUUUCCCCAAUCUUUCCAGGGGCUUUGUUCCAGGACUUUAUUUGCUCAUCUCCACCUAUGUUGUUUUAUUGUCCCUUUUUGUUCUUAAAAUAAGGACUGUUAUUUAUAUAGAGACUUGAACAAUCUGUACAGUUUGACUCUUAAAACUUAGUCAGCUCAUCUUGCACAAUUUCAGAAAUAAAAUACUCAAGCUAAAUCCAAGUUUCUGUGGGAGAAAUGGCAUUUAUAAG